CUGGUCCUGGCCAUCAUCUGCAUCUGAUUCAAGGAUACAGAGAAACUUGAGUAAUGAUGACAAUAGCAGCCAUGCCGUCUCCCAUUCUUACCACCGGAUGUGAAGAAAUUCUAGAUGCGAUCCAGCCAAUCUGUACUCGACUCUCAGUUCCCUCUUCUCAACUCACAGUGUCUUCCAAAGUCCAUGCCACAGCACAGCCUGGAAAAUCUCCCAAAGCAGUAUCUUGAGGCAAUGGUAGAGCUCAUGUCACAGCAUUGUAUGUCUCAGCCGUGGUGUCAGGGAACACUGGCUUCAUACAGUGCAUUGGGAAAGGUUCUCUACUCGUCUGAUUUUAUUGAUUGUUAUUAAUGCUGAAAGGCUUCGAAUAACACACCAGUGAAGUCAUCUUGACCUGGACAGAAAUUGAAUCCUUACAAGAAUUCUAGGAGCUUGGAAGGGGAUACUUUACCAGGUCUUCGUGUAGUCUCCACACUGCCUUCCACAAUGGUUGAACUAAUUUAGACGUCCACCAAUGGUGUGUAAGUAAUUCCUUUGUUCCACAACCUUGCCAGUAUCUAUUUCUUGACUAUUUAAUAAUAGCCAUUCUGACUGGUGUUAGAUGGUAUCACAUUGUGAUUUUUAAUUGCAUUUCUUUCAGGAUCGGUGAGGUUGAGCUUUUCUUCAUAUGAUUGUUAGCCACAUAUAUAUCUUCUGUUGAAAGUGUCUGUUCGUGUCCUUUGCCCUCUUUUUUUAUGGAGUUGGUUUUUUUUUCUUGAACAUUUGUUUAAGUUCCUUAUAGAUGCUGCAUAUUAGACUUUGGUCAUAUGCAUAGGUUGCAAAACUUUUCUCCCAUUCUGUAGGUUGUCUGUUCAUUCUGUAGAUAGUUUUCUUUUGCUGUGCAGAAAACUAAGUUUAA